GACGAACGCUGGCGGCGUGCUUAACACAUGCAAGUCGAACGGAAAGGCCCUGCUUUUGUGGGGUGCUCGAGUGGCGAACGGGUGAGUAACACGUGAGUAACCUGCCCUUGACUUUGGGAUAACUUCAGGAAACUGGGGCUAAUACCGGAUAGGAGCUCCUGCUGCAUGGUGGGGGUUGGAAAGUUUCGGCGGUUGGGGAUGGACUCGCGGCUUAUCAGCUUGUUGGUGGGGUAGUGGCUUACCAAGGCUUUGACGGGUAGCCGGCCUGAGAGGGUGACCGGCCACACUGGGACUGAGAUACGGCCCAGACUCCUACGGGAGGCAGCAGUGGGGAAUAGUGCACAAUGGGCGGAAGCCUGAUGCAGCAACGCCGCGUGCGGGAUGACGGCCUUCGGGUUGUAAACCGCUUUCGCCUGUGACGAAGCGUGAGUGACGGUAAUGGGUAAAGAAGCACCGGCUAACUACGUG
rnacentral:rRNA from 1 species